AUUGAACGCUGGCGGCAUGCUCUACACAUGCAAGUCGAACGGUAACAGGGUGCUUGCACCGCUGACGAGUGGCGAACGGGUGAGUAAUGCGUCGGAACGUGCCGAGUAGUGGGGGAUAACGCAUCGAAAGGUGUGCUAAUACCGCAUACGUACUGAGGUAGAAAGUGGGGGACCUUCGGGCCUCACGCUAUUCGAGCGGCCGACGUCUGAUUAGCUAGUUGGUGAGGUAAGGGCUCACCAAGGCGACGAUCAGUAGCGGGUCUGAGAGGAUGAUCCGCCACACUGGGACUGAGACACGGCCCAGACUCCUACGGGAGGCAGCAGUGGGGAAUUUUGGACAAUGGGCGCAAGCCUGAUCCAGCCAUGCCGCGUGUCUGAAGAAGGCCUUCGGGUUGUAAAGGACUUUUGUCCGGGAGCAAAUACCCAGUGCUAAUAACGCUGGGGGCUGAGAGUACCGGAAGAAUAAGCACCGGCUAACUACGUGCCAGCCGCCGCCGUAA
rnacentral:rRNA from 1 species